UACAGAGGUGGCAAGCGUUGUUCGGAAUUACUGGGCGUAAAGGGCGCGUAGGCGGCCAUCUAAGUCAGACGUGAAAUCCCCCGGCUUAACUUGGGAACUGCGUCUGAUACUGGAAGGCUUGAGUAUGGGAGAGGGAUGUAGAAUUCCAGGUGUAGCGGUGAAAUGCGUAGAUAUCUGGAGGAAUACCGGUGGCGAAGGCGGCAUCCUGGACCAUUACUGACGCUGAGGCGCGAAAGCUAGGGGAGCAAACGGG
rnacentral:rRNA from 1 species